GCAUGCAAGCCAUUAGAAACCAUUCCAAAUGAGGCUGAUGCUCGCCUCAUUGAUUGUGCCAUGGAGCUGGAUUCUAAACAGAAAAUCUCCCCUGACUGUGGUCCUUGGACUACAAAGACAAAGCAAAAUUCAGUGAUUUUUGAAAACCAUGGAAGCAGAGGUACUGCCCAGCCUUGCCCAAGAUGUAUUGCUGGAGAAUCUGGGCACUUCAGUCAUAUCCUGGGCUUCUAGAAAUUGAGAGACGGCAGAUCAGCAACACUGCUUUUCUUUUUAAAUUCUAAAGAUGCACCUGUGAACCCUGUACAGCUGGGUAUCUGUACAUUCACUCAUGGCGUGGAUUUGUGUGUGGUAUUCAGCAUAUAGCAGUUUGCUGUAUGUGUUACUCUUUCAGUGCACAAUUAUGGAUAUCAUUGUUUUUACACUUGAAAAAAUGCUUCUGCUUUUAAGGUAGCUCAGUAUAUGUUAAAAAAAAAAAAAGUUGAUUUAAUGUUUUAGAGUAGUUAAGUUGAUCUGGCCUUUGGCCCAGUCUUCACCUGGGACUAGGCCAAAGGUCAUGUUGAUACAAGAGAUUUUUCUGUCUCUCUUGGGCACUUUUCUCUCUUUCACUUUCUCUUGGAAAGCGGCCCUUGCAUUUACAUGGGUACAGGGCCUGCAGUUUUAGCUCAGCUCUGUAUAUGCAGCAGAAAUGGGAGGACAGAAAUGUCUGCUUUUUUAGAUGGCUAUUCAGCUGUGAAGGCCAGUAAAAAUCCUAUUGAAACUUACGUUUAAAUCCAAAAUAUGCAUCCAAUUCAGGUAUCUUACAUGCUAAACUUCUUGUUUGUUUAUAACAAGCAGAGUUCGUGAAUGUGGCAGGUAAAUACCUAAUAGAAAAAGCAGUAUUACUUGAACAACCCUCCAUAAAGCGAAGAUGAAUAGUAAUUCAGCUCUGUGGAGUUCUCACAAAGUUGUUAAGAUACCAUCUGUCACUCCCUGACUCUGUCUUUCCAGUUAUUGUGAUAUUAGAAGAAAUCUGUUUAAAAAGUCUUAAACUUGUCAUCCAACAUGAUUUUACUGGCUUGUCACAAAUAAUUUCAUCUACAUUUUGCCAGUAUAUAGGACUAUAUAAUUUUUAAACACAUGCAAAUUUUUAGACUAAGAUAGCCGAGUUGUGCUAUUUGGGUGUGACACUUCAGUGGCUGCUCUGGGAUAGGCAGAAGAGUCCUGAAAGCUCGGAACUGAAUGGCAGUACGUUAACCCUCUGCAUUGGAGGGAAAUUGCUGUGACCUGCCAAAGUUCACAAAGAAAGCAAUCUCCGCUGUCUGGAGAACUGCUGAGCUAUAGCUGUGCCCUGCUGCCACUCAGCUUUUGGGCAGAGUUCAACCCAAAACAGAUACGGCAGGCAUGACAGCAUUUGGCCUCUCCUGUUCUGAGAGCAGCCAGUAGCCAGUUUAAAUUAAAAUGGUAGCUCCAAAGUUGCAAAAAUCUAGUGACAGGCUUUUAAAGGUUAGUUUCCCAGUGGGGUUUAUCAGGCUGCAAAAUCCUUAGACAAAGGUUUUUCAGACUCCUAGACUGCUUCCUAUAUUGUGUGUGGAGUUGUAGCUAGCACUGAGUUGACUGUUACUAAGGAGAUAGUCUUCCUAAAUACAUGAGUAUCAUAUAAAUACUGAAUUCAGUUAAGUAAUAGAUGAGGAAAUAAGUCUAUAAAGCAGAGCUGCCCUAAAUUAGCAUACAGACUGUUUGAUUAGGAAAGAAGAAGUUUCCUCCAAGCCAAUAUAAUUUUUAGUUACAUGGAAAAUAAAUAUUUUCAAAGUGCAAAAUUUUUCAGACGCUUCAAAAUUUUCUUCAGUCACAAGAACAGUACAAUCUGUACUGUAUAUCUGUAUACACUAUAUACAACAGAUCAAAUCUCCAAGAAGCACAGCAGUUUUAGAAAUUGUAUUGUCCCUGUUAUCUUGAAGAUCUGAAACUCAUCUUGAAUCCUCCCACUCCCAAUACAGGUUGAUGCAAGCACUGGUAUCUAUCCAAGCUAGAAAGGAACAUAGCCUCACUUGAAACGGUAGUAUGAUGAGCAAAUUCCCGUAUACCAAUAGCAGAGUUUAUCAACUAGUGCAAAAUAAUAAUACAAAAUGUUUUCUAAAGACUGAAAUUACAUAUUUGUUACCAAGAUAACUAGAUCAUAUUUUGUGGGCAAUUCAUUUUUACAUUUUCCAACCCCUGUUUUUUAAAAAUCCUGGUGAUAAUAGCAGCCAAAAAAACCAUGGCUAAGCAUCAGUUCCUGUGCUGUAAAAGUUGAAAUAGCUGCUUGAAGGUAAGAGCCUAAAAGGUAUCUGAACGUUUCGUUACUGCAAAACGACUCAAAACCUGUUAUCUUUCUUCAAGUAAAAUGUAUGACAAGUAAUGAUUAGUAGAACAGCGUAUGGUCAAAAUUUAGGGUAUCCAAAGAAGAGAAUAUCAAAAGUAGACUUGGACUCCACAAUGGAACAGUCUUCUGCUGGAAUAUGUUGGAGCAAAGAAGUAUGCCAUCAUGUUUAAAACACGGGGGAUAUGUCUAUGGAUUAUCAAACCAAAAGGGUGCUUUUCAUUUAAAUAACUCAAAUUUUAUCAUGUUAAGCAUUCACAGAAGCCAGUGCAUGUAUUUCUUCUGUUUGCUUUAAACUGAAUUGUAUUUUAAUCUGGUAUGGAGUAUGGUAAAAAUGAGAACCGACUGGGUUUCCUUAUGGUCCUCGCAGGUUUUGUGCCGUGUUCUUUUUAAUUCUUCUCCUUUUAGAGUAACUAUUACUUGUUUUUUGUAAAAUCUUACCGUACAUAAAUCACAGGACUGGUCAUAGUUUGUGGCUGCAUUACAGAGGCUGAUGAAGUCAUACUAGUGUUCGAUUUUAAUGUAAUUUUUUCGUAUCGGUCUUCCCAUUGUUACUCUACACUGUGCAGGUAUUUUAUUACACUAUCCACCCUGGCUCUCAAGGCUGUCCUUGGAGAUUACUGCAUCUAUACAGCUGAACAAAAUAGGAGAACUUUAUCCCAUUUUUUUACUCUGUAGCCUGCAGUGUGAACAUGGGCCUGUUGUAUUUUCUUUACACUGUUAAAAAUGUAAUGCUGCAGUUUACAUCUAGUCUAACUGAUGAGUAGUUAUGUUAUUCACAUGUACAUUUUGAACAUCUCAAUGCUAUGCUGUAGAAACUAAACUUGAGUAAAAUGGUCACAAGUAGGGUUCUUUUUGUUUGUUUUUAACUAUAGCCUUUUGCAUUCUCUAGGAACACAAUACAGGAUGUGUCAGAUCAAUUCUAUAAUAAUAUUUAAAUACCCCCACCCCACCCCCCCGUUCCCCUACCAAUUUCAUCUGUUUUGAAAAUGAACUCCAAAAAGGGGUGUAGAAACAGAUUAGCUAGCGGAAGGUUAACUCCCCUCAUUUUCAGCCUAUCCUAAUUACCACUGUCACGUAGUUAUACUGCUGUCAGUAUGAUACAUCAGAAUAGAAAACAAAUGAAAAACACUUGGCAGUUACCAUCUCUGCUGCAUCAUAACACAAUUUGUAAUGAAAAAGCGAGUAUUAAAAAAAAGUUUUUGAUACAGAAAUGUGAUGCCUUUCUUCCCUAGCAAAGAUUUCUAUGCAAACCCGUCUGUAUCUUUCUAUUUCUUCAGAGUUGAUCAGUGUUUUAAUUUUUGCAUCCCUAACAUUUCAGUGUCCAGGAUAAUCUUUCCUAGUUACUUAACUGCAAAAGCACCAGCCCGGGUCAAAUGGGAACACCUAGUUCAAUAUCCUGUAUGCUCUAGUGACUAGUAGCAGGCAGACGCAUGGGAAGAGUCCAAAAAACAGGACACGUAUUGAAUGGAAAGACUUUUUGCAAAUACAAAACCAGUAUUUUAGAUCAGGUUUUGUUGCGGGCAUCAUUUCUUGCCUUAUAGCUAAGCCUUGACCAUCAAGUACCACAGAAAUUAUGAAAAUGUCAGUAGUUUCCAAUAGUAUUUUUUUCUUUGCUAUUGUUUGUUGAUAUAAAAAAAUGUAUUGGCUAUCAGGAGAAUGUUAAACUUGACUUUGCUCUUUUUAUUAAGCAUUGGUAUCUUCAAUAUUUAAGAAGCAGUUCCUGUAUGACUAGAAUUCAAGUGUGUGUGUAUACUCAUACUUCAUUUGUGCAGUGUUAGGAUACUCUUCCUAGUAUUUGUCAAAAAUAGCAGCUCCCUCCUUUCUGUUUUUCUUGAGUUGGCUUACAAUACAAAAAAAAAUAAAAUUAAGAAACCUCUAGGAGUUGCAGUUCAAGGCAGGAGGCAGAAGGGUAGUUGCGCUGUACCUUUUUACUAGUGUUCUAGAUUCUUCCUUGUUGCAGGAGGCCAUAAGUCCUAACAAAAACUUGGACAGAUUUUUACUUAUGUCUCUGGGAAUGCUACUGCUGAUAAAUAAAGUAUUCUGGAUAGAUGUACAUUUCGGUUAUAUUCUGUGUAAAGUAUCCCAAAAUGAAAUAACCGGUGUUGCUCACUUUGUGAGCCGGCGUUUACGUCCAAGCAUUCAUCGCUUCACGGGGCAAAGCAGCACCUGCUGCAUGUCGCUGUGUCUGCUUCCCUUGGUCCUGGCAAGAGCACCUGCUGGUCUUACUCCUUCUAAAGUGUUAACUGGCCUCUCCAGCUGACUAGAAACAUGUUUAGCUGUUAGAAACAUCAUCGUUUCUGAUUUUUUCACAAAUGAGAAUGCAUACACUUCUGGAUAAACUUUAAAGUGAAUCUUUUGGCUAGGAAGUGAUUCCUUAUUCUGUGCUUUCUAAUGGGGUAGGGAAUGCAUUUAUAAAUCAGCCAGUAUGGAAACAAAUUGUAGUUUAAUAGUCUAAUGUAUUGAAGGUUUAUAAUCGUGGUAUUUUUUCUAAUAGCUGUACUGUGUAAUUUGUUUCAGGAUUUGUCAGUCAGAAUCAUGAAGCUGCUGUAAUAGGUACAGAUGAAUGCCAUGCAGGCUGGGAGAGGUGAAUAUUUCUUUAAAGCAGAUUUGUGUCAAAUCUGCAGUAGAACCACAAAAUUAUUUUUGUAAGACUUUUCUUCACCUUGUAUAACUGUGAAAUUUUGUUAUAUUUAUAAAAUUAUAUACUCUUUAUAUUUCCUAAUACCGUGGUUUGUACACAAAAUAACCUGAGUGAUACUUUAUUUACAUGUAUAUACUAAAAGAGGCAUAUGGUCUGUUUUUAAUUCAGGUUGAGAUGAUAUAAUCUAAUAUUUUUAACUUUGUAUUUUGUAAAUUGUUACUUACAAAAGCAGAAGCAUUAAACACCACUUUGGCUACAGU